AACGAACGCUGGCGGCGCGUCUUAAACAUGCAAGUCGAACGAUCUGUAGCAAUACAGGGAGUGGCGGACGGGUGAGGAACACGUAGGAAUCUACCUUGAAGAGCGGGACAACUUUGGGAAACCGGGGCUAAUACCGCAUAGUACAGAGAUGUUAAAGGGCUAGCAAUAGUCGCUUCGAGAUGAGCCUGCGGUCUAUCAGCUUGUUGGUGAGGUAAUGGCUCGCCAAGGCUACGACGGAUAGCCGGUCUGAGAGGAUGAUCGGCCACACUGGCACUGAGACACGGGCCAGACUCCUACGGGAGGCAGCAGUUAAGAAUCUUGCGCAAUGGGGAAACCCUGACGCAGCGACGCCGCGUGAAGGAUGAAGGCUUUCGGGUUGUAAACUUCGGUAGACUGGGAAGAA
rnacentral:rRNA from 1 species